rnacentral:rRNA from 1 species
CCUACGGGCGGCUGCAGUGGGGAAUAUUGGACAAUGGGCGAAAGCCUGAUCCAGCCAUGCCGCGUGUGUGAAGAAGGCCUUCGGGUUGUAAAGCACUUUCAGUGGGGAAGAAAGCCUUGGGGCUAAUACCCUCGAGGAAGGACAUCACCCACAGAAGAAGCACCGGCUAACUCCGUGCCAGCAGCCGCGGUAAUACGGAGGGUGGGAGCGUUAAUCGGAAUUACUGGGCGUAAAGCGCGCGUAGGCGGUCUGAUAAGCCGGUUGUGAAAGCCCCGGGCUCAACCUGGGAACGGCAUCCGGAACUGGCAGGCUAGAGUGCAGGAGAGGAAGGUAGAAUUCCCGGUGUAGCGGUGAAAUGCGUAGAGAUCGGGAGGAAUACCAGUGGCGAAGGCGGCCUUCUGGACUGACACUGACGCUGAGGUGCGAAAGCGUGGGUAGCAAACAGGAUUAGAUACCCGAGUAGUC